rnacentral:rRNA from 1 species
GGCCGUAACUAUAACGGUCCUAAGGUAGCGAAAUUCCUUGUCGGUUAAAUACCGACCUGCAUGAAUGGCGUAACGAGAUGGGAGCUGUCUCAACCAGAGAUUCAGUGAAAUUGUAGUGGAGGUGAAAAUUCCUCCUACCCGCGGCAAGACGGAAAGACCCCGUGGA